rnacentral:tRNA from 1 species
AUAUUUAUAGUAUAAUAUUAUUACAUUAGUUUUUCAAGCUAAAGAUAUGGUUACCAUUAAAUAUU